AGAGUGUCAAACUAUCAAGAGACUCUUCCAUCGCCCUCUGCCCCCAUCAACUUACUUCAGGAUCGGUGAAAUGGGAAUCAAAUGAGGAUGUCUGCUGGUAUCGGGAGGGUUUAAAGAACUGGAAGUUUGCCUACAGUGAUACGGUGUGUGCUACAAAGGAAUCUAUGUGCUGAGGAGACUAGAAAAUGAAAAGCCGUGGUUGUUUCCAGGCAUUUCUACAAAAGCAGGGCUGAUUCAGAAACACCGGACUAAACCAAGUGAUGGAACUGGAAGAGAGCGCUUGGGUUCAGGUAGCCAUUGCGGGAAAACCAAAACAAGACCAAGAAAACCCAACGCUACCAGCAAAAUUCAUUUUGUUUCUGCUCAGACAUUGGAUGGAAGGACUAAAUUACCAAGCAGACACACAUUACACAGACAGG